rnacentral:rRNA from 1 species
UACGAAGGGGGCUAGCGUUGCUCGGAAUCACUGGGCGUAAAGGGUGCGUAGGCGGGUCUUUAAGUCAGGGGUGAAAUCCUGGAGCUCAACUCCAGAACUGCCUUUGAUACUGAAGAUCUUGAGUUCGGGAGAGGUGAGUGGAACUGCGAGUGUAGAGGUGAAAUUCGUAGAUAUUCGCAAGAACACCAGUGGCGAAGGCGGCUCACUGGCCCGAAACUGACGCUGAGGAGCGAAAGCGUGGGUAGCAAACAGG